rnacentral:rRNA from 1 species
UACGGAGGGUGCAAGCGUUAAUCGGAAUUACUGGGCGUAAAGCGCGUGUAGGCGGUCUUGUAAGUCGGAUGUGAAAGCCCCGGGCUCAACCUGGGAACUGCAUUCGAUACUGCUCGACUAGAGUAUGGAAGAGGGAAGCGGAAUUCCGGGUGUAGCGGUGAAAUGCGUAGAUAUCCGGAGGAACACCAGUGGCGAAGGCGGCUUCCUGGUCCAAUACUGACGCUGAGACGCGAAAGCGUGGGGAGCAAACAGG